CUUUAGGUACCGUGGGAUUUCUUUGGCUAGUGAUCACCAAGCUGGCUCCUUUUGAUCGAUAAUACAAUCUCCCAGCCUCCCUCACGAGAAUAAUGAUCUGUUCAGUUGGUGGAUCUUAAACAAAGUCAGAUGAAGAGCAAUCUGCUUUACACAGCUAAAGGCACGGGGAUUAGACUAUUAGUGAUAUGCUUUGAUUUGUUCAUGCUUUAUGUUUGGCCAGCAAUCUAGUCAGGCUGGAGCAGUGUUUUGUUGAUUAUUAUUAGUAACAACAGCAAACAUGAAGUAUUACUGCCAUGAAAUGGUGAACACCACAUUUGUGCGAGAUUUGCAUUAUUGACAGCAAAAUUGAUUUGUGAAAGCUGCACCUGAAUGUAAUCUGCCAUGAGAUGUCCAGAUUCAUUUUGGAAAACUUAUGCUAGUUAAAAUUAUUUUCAAGAUUCUAU